CCAUAAUGUAGUCGUUUAAAGAUUCUCGUUUAGGGGAGAUUUUCUCCCAAUAGUUUUUAAUGUUUUUUAUAUUAGUUUUCAAUAUGUAGGUCACUUGACCAAAUUACAAUAAUAAUAUGUUUUUAGUAUGUUUUUCUUUUUCGUCUGAUUUAUCGUCUCAAUAGUUUGCAACUAAUAGCUUCCGCAUGACGCUCUCUCGAUUUCGAACCCAACAAGUGGUAUCAGAACCCAUGGUUCAAUGGUUCGAUGGUUCAAAUUGAGGACAUGUUGAGAUCAAAGUUGCAACCAACCUGAUGAUAAUGAAGAUAUAUGUUUAAGAUACUACAUGUGGAUAAAAAAUUUCAAACAAAUUUUCAAUAAUCCUGCUGCUUCAUCAUUAAAACAAAAUCAACUUUUAACCCAUGUUUAUGGGCUUCAACUUUCAACCCCUGCUUACUUUUAUGCUAGGGAUCCUUUCAACUCGUGCAUUUAUUUUUAACGCAUGAGCUCCACUCUUAACCUGUGCUCACUUUCAAUGCACAAGACUCCACUUUCAAUCCUAUUUACUUAUAACACAGGGCUCCAAUAAUAUCAACCCGUGCUUUUAAUUUUAAUGCAUAAGGCUCAAUUUUAACUCAUAUCAACUUUUAAUCAUGGUAAGCAGCAGUGAUUUAUGAAGAUCGUGUGAAGAAGGAGGAUCAAGAAUAUGUCGUCAAGAAAAUCAAGUCAAAAAGGGGAGAUUUGUUAGAGUUUUUUCCCUGAUUUUCUUACAAAAAUUAAGUUUUAUUUUUCUUAAAAGGAAAAUAAAAGUAGUACCAUAAUUACUUUUAUUUUUCUAAAAGGAAAAUAUAAAAUUUUUUCAUAUUUGGCAAACCUCUUUCUUGGAGGAAAAGAUUUUGAAUCUAUAAAUAGAAAUCCCUCUUCUCAUGCAACAACACAGUAACAUCCAUAAUGUAGUCGUUUAAAGAG
rnacentral:lncRNA from 1 species